UACGUAGGUGACCAGCGUUGUCCGGAUUUACUGGGCGUAAAGAGCGCGCAGGCGGUCGUUCAAGUCGAGUGUGAAAGCCCCCGGCUCAACUGGGGAGGGUCAUUCGAUACUGAUCGACUUGAAGGCAGGAGAGGGAAGUGGAAUUCCCGGUGUAGUGGUGAAAUGCGUAGAUAUCUUCAGGACGGAUAAAGGUGAAAACAAACCUCUAUGUAUAAACAGACGUUGAGGGACGAAGGCAUUGUGUAACGAACAGG
rnacentral:rRNA from 1 species